AAUAAGAUCAUUUUUUAGUUUUUCAUACAGUGUUUUGACUUUUCGUCUUAUCUGAAAUUUUUUUAUGAUUAAUAUUUUUAUUCUUACUAGAUGAUAAAACAUGAAUAGUAUUUUAUACGUGACUAAUUUUUUUAAAUUUUUAUAUAAGUUUUUUAAAUAAAAAGAAUGGUCAAACGUUAGACACGAAAAA
rnacentral:pre_miRNA from 1 species